CCGUUACAGCAUCUAGCAGUAUGAUUACAAAAUUUGUGGCGUAAGUAGCUAAUUCCCGUCCAAUCAACUAUACAGCCAACGCAUCAACUGGAGUGACAAUUCUGCAGCAGUCCUUUGAGACACUAGCCUGCCAAUCAACCUGCCCAGGUAAUGUAGCUUUCCACCCCACCCCCCACUCCCCCCCACCAUCUCCCCUCCCACACACACACACAUCCUGCCAAUCUAUCAUGACAGACAGGUUUCAAACAUACUCCCUGUCACAGCAGAGGCAGCAGCAUGGGUUAGAUAGCAGCAGGAGUGAGAAAGGACUCAAACAAUUGGGACGAUUUCUUUGUUCUGAGUAGCACCCCGUGAUGAUUACAGUGUCUUACAAAAUGGCUGAGAACCAGAGAGAAGCUGACCGGUCUGUCACAUCUGUUUCAUGCUGUGCUGUCACUGUAGGACCUUACUGCCAGAUACCCUAUGGAGAACGUUGUUAGCAUAAACAAAAUGCAUUAUUUAUGUUCAAGCAGCCUCUGGGACAUGUUCUCUUUGCUGUAGACAAUAGCUGCUUUCUCAUCCAAGUACUUUAUGCAAACUAUGAUGUAACAAAAUCGAAAGGUAGAAGGGGACGUGAAUACUUCAAUAAUAAUUGUUUGUUUGAUGUGCAACAAAAAGCCUUUUUUGUCGUAGUAUUUACAGUAAAGAAUCGGACCAUUACUUCCUAAAAGUACAACACAUACUGAAACAUAUGUACUUUUCUUCACUUUGAUCUGUCAAGGUGCAUUUACAUAGGACAGCUGGUUGGAGCAGGUCUGGAGGGCAACCAGGAGGCCGGUGACUAAGGCGGAAAGCCUCUGGAGGUUGCCGGUGAAGGUGGAAACCCUCUGGAGGCCAGCGGCAAAGGCGGCACCACUCAAGAGGCCAGUGAUGAAGCUAAAAUGCUGAAUCUGAAACCAGCAGCUGGAGUACAGAGAAGAAGACCAGCAGCGGAAAAACAGAACUCCAAACCACGACAACUAGGGAACAGCCAGGUGAGCUGGUGGAGCCAAGGAAACAGGAGAUUGCUGCAGCUCAGCAGGAACAAGAGAUUGCCGCAGCUGAGCAGGAACAGGAAAUUGCAGCAGCUGAGCAGGAACAAGAGAUUGCCGCAGUUUAGCAGGAACAAGAGAUUGCCGCAGCUGAGCAGGAACAGGAGAUUGCUGCAGCUCAGCAGGAACAAGAGAUUGCUGCAGCUGAGCAGGAACAGGAGAUUGCCGCAGCUCAGCAGGAACAAGAGAUUGCUGCAGCUCAGCAGGAACAAGAGAUUGCUGCAGCUCAGCAGGAACAAGAGAUUGCCGCAGCUGAGCAGGAACAGGAGAUUGCUGCAGCUCAGCAGGAACAAGAGAUUGCCGCAGCUGAGCAGGAACAAGAGAUUGCCGCAGCUGAGCAGGAACAAGAGAUUGCCGCAGCUGAGCAGGAACAGGAGAUUGCCGCAGCCGAGCAGGAACAGGAGAUUGCUGCAGCUCAGCAGGAACAAGAGAUUGCUGCAGCUCAGCAGGAGCAGGAGAUUGCCGCAGCUGAGCAGGAGCAGGAGAUUGCCGCAGCUGAGCAGGAGCAGGAGAUUGCCGCAGCUGAGCAGGAAAAGAUGUGGCCUGAGGCUUGUGUUGGUAGACUGGCAAGUACAGGUUGACUGCUGAUUGGCAGUUUGAUGGAGUGAAAUACAACAGCGAGAAGAAAUGAGAUCUGACCAUGCCCACGUUCGAUGCUUCACUGUCCGUGAUUUUUGCUAGGGGAAGCAACAAACAACAGACAGUUUCACCAAGCCAAGGCAACCGGGCCAACAUAUAAACAAGAUAAACAAUGUCUCCAGGGAGAUAUGGUCUAGGCUCACACACAUCGCUCGCUCCUCCCCUCUUCCUGUCCAUUCGAUGUUAGGAAUCAGGGGCUAAGCUUUGCUCCUGUGGCUGGACUCUGGGGAGUUGCUGGUCUACCUGUAGACAGCCACAUCAGAUCUUAUUCCCUGCACAGGAACACAAUAAUACGGGGAGAGGGAAAGUGAGCUUCAUCUGUGGAAUACUGAUGCAGGAAUUGGGCAUCGACAAGACAAGCUCUGAGAGGCUCGAGGAACAUGGAGGCCAGGGAAUUAAUUCUUAAACAUACAGUCUGCAGGACUUAGCAAUUUUUUUUUUGGAGGAAUCAGAAGAAUAAGCAAGAGGCUGCUAUGAGUUUGUGGGAGCUGCACAAGAAAAGGUUAAAGGGGAAAUGAAUUGAUAAUGACCUUUAGGUUGUUGUUGUUUGCAAAAGUUCUAUUUUCCAAAAGAAAAAUCAGUUGUUUCUCAAAGAAAACUUUAGAACUCAGUGCUUUCAUUUCAAUUUUAAUUCUGUGACGUUAAAAUUUAUUUCUUGACAUUGCUGAAGGAAUUUUCUGUGGACACUUUUUCCCAUGCUAGCGGUGUGGAUCUGUUUUGUUUACAUCUAGCACCAAUAUCUACAUUUUAAUUUUCACUUUAGUUUAUGACCAAAUGACAUUCCCAUCAGCCUGAGCUACUUUGUGUGUAGUGCUAAUUAGCUAACGUUAGCUAAUUAGCACUACACACAAAGUAGCUCCACACACUUAAGCACAAUGGUAAACAUGAUAAAUCUUACUUGUUAAACAGCAGCAUUUUAUAUAGCAUUGUCACUUUGACCAUGUUGGCACACUGAAGUUUGCAUUUAGCUCAGUGCAAAGUACAAAUGUGCCUAACUACAGCCUCAUAGACUCUUAGCCUUGUUGUGUCUAGAAAUUGUACACAAUAACCAUAAAACAACGUGUUCUUUGAAACGCAAACAGCGGCUCAUUAAAAAUACGCCUUUAUAUUUAGGAUAAACAAUUAUUUCAACAUAAUGUAUAGAACUAGACGGAAAGUCAAUGGACCGUUUCCUAUCACUGAAAUACGAGAGUUUAAUAUGAAAUAUGAAGUUAGACUUUUCCUUCUGCUGGGUCGAUGCAGCCACUGUCAAAUCCUGUAUGGAGGUAGCAUUAGCCUAAAGGAUAGUAGGGGAAGACUUGUGGCCGGAAAGAAGCCAGUUCAGAUUGGGACCAUCUGGUAGCCUGAGAAGAGAAACUCUCUCCUCUUUCUACAGCUGGCAUUAAUAAGCCCCAUUUGCUCCUGAGGAGCCAAAAGUAGAAGCCUAGUUGUACUGAGUAAGUCCCCAAAAUUUAACUACGUAGUAGUACGCAACGGAGAAUCGGGUUAACGCUGAAAAAAGGUAAGUCAUGCUAGAAAAUUUUUCCAGACUAAAUAAACAUUGUAAAAGACUGUAGUUUAUUUUUGCUUGUAUUACUCCACUAGGAUUUCUCCAAGAGUCUGUUUAUGUCUCCCGUUUCAGGUUAGUGGCAUAGUUAAUGCAGACUACGGAGCAGUCAAAACACUGCAAGCCAUUUUAGGUGAAUUACAGUAUUAUUCUCAUCUAAUAGCUGGCUUAAAACGCUAAUCAUGCAUGCAAAUUCCUGGCUCAGUGUGCCUAUGGAUUAGAAGCCCAUGUAAUUUACAGUUAAUCCCAUAUGCACCGCACUGAAAAUCCGCCUAAAAGAAUUUCUCAUCAUCAAAAAUGUUCCCUCUAAUUACGUCUCCUGAGAGAAGCUCCACUCCCGCUUGAGAUGAAGCCAUACAGUUUUCUCAGGUUCAAAUGCACGUGGAAUACAGAAUACAAGCCCUUGAUCAAGCUCUGAACUAUUGCCUUUUUAUCCAGAUCUAUAGAUUGGAACCGAUGGACACAUUAUUGCAUAUUAUGCAGCUGGCAAAAGAAUCUUUUCCCACCAUGAGGCAGAAUAUCUCUUUCUUCCUAUUCCCUCUAAUAUCUUUAAUCAGUCCUGUCUCCUGCCCCUGUACGGUCACAAUAAACAGUCAGUCUCUUUAAAGUUCAGUAGAUAUUCAAAAGCAAUUUCCAAAACUUUGCCAUCACUGAACUCGCAAACAAUAGCUGAAAUCAAAUGUAAUGUGACUUCUUUCAGUGAGUGUGUUCUUCUGCGCUAUGCUGAAAUAUUAAUAGCCUAUUAAUUAUAGGAAAAGUUGGAUAAAAAGUGGGGAGGGAGAGACAGAGGGAUUGAGGCCACACAGAUCUGAAAGAAUACAAAGAGAAGUGGAAAAACAAGGCUGGAAUUGGCUUCAUACUCUCCAACCCUGCAGAUUCUCCUCAGAGACUUGUGGUUGUUCUGCCCCUUUGAAAGCACCCGCCUGUGGUCUCAUUUAUCUCAUAUUUUGAUAAAAUCUAGAACUAAGACCACUAUAUUGCUGUUUCUGUUAUUAUUAUUAUUAUUGUUAUUAUUCUGUAUUGUGAUUUAGCAGGCUUUAUAAAAUGACAUUUUUUCCUUCAUUGUAAACCUGAGAGAUAUAAAGUUGUACUUCACUCCAACCCAACUGCAAGACAAGAACGUCAAUAUAGGAUGGUUCUGUGAAACCUCUGAUUACUUUCAACUUUAACAUUUGCUAGAGGUGUGGCUGCUGACACACUAAAUAAAGAUAGUGAACAUCGUUAUACCUGCUAAAAAUGAGAGUGUUAGCAUUGUGAUUGUGAGCGUGUUAGCAUGUCUGCCUAUUUAGACCAAAGCUGUCAAUCCAUAUAAAAGAGAAUUGGUCUAUUUAUUGUACCAUUUUUAUCUGACUCCUGUAGAUAGUAGUAGGUAGGUCUGCAGCAGUGGUGUAGUCUAGUUUUUGUAGUGUUUUGUACUGUGAUUUUUCCGUCCCAGAGCGACGUCCCAUAAGCACCACUGCAAUCACUAAUACAUAUAGUACGCAUGUACAUGUGAUAGAGAGCAUUCAGAAGGACUGCUUAAGCUAUGUGUUAUUAACACUGCAAAGACUAACAGCCAAUGACGGUCACAGGUGGGCAAGAGCGUCACUUUGUGUUGAAAAGUGGUGGAGACAUUUUAGGGCUCAGAUUAGAGUUGUGACAAAACACUUAGCAUACGAGACGUGACAAUCCAGAAUAUUGGGGUCACGAGAACAAGACUAGAAGAUUUUAAUGCUACUUAAAGAAAUAUUUAUUGAUGAAAAUAUAUGAUUGGGGGGCUUGAGGGUCCUCCCCCAGAAGAUUUUGUGCUGUAAACACUUAAGUUCUUGCAUUCUGGAGAUGUAAUUUUUUGGUAUAAAUCAGAUCUGGUUUUCUAUAUUUACAUUGCAUUACAUGUUUUCUUAUUGUGCCAAAAAAAACUUUGUCAUAGUACUCACAUUUGUUAUUUAACAUUUCUUGUUACCAGCUAUUUCAGAACAUUUGGGAGAAAAUGUAAAUGUAAAAUCUAUGCAGGUGGGGGAAAUAGACUGAUUUUCUAAUGUUUAGUGUUAAUCACCAUCUAACUCAGCUCCAGUUAGGAGCUGCAUGAAGCCUUUGAUUUUAUAUGAAUCUGGUCCCUGGAGCAAGUUUUAUCAGCUGGCAAUUUUCAAUGCACAUUUAAGAAUGUAAGUUACAACUAUUAUUAACAAUAAUGGAAAGCUGAGGCUCAGUAUCAGUAAGAACAAUGAACAUAGGCAUAUGUGCACUUUUAUCACCAAAACUCAUUCAUUACAGAAUAUUAUUAACAGUAAGGAAAGUGGUCCACAUCAUCUCAAGCACACUUAUCUUCCAAAACCAUUGUCAAACUUAGCUAACGUAGCUUCUGUAUCAGCUGAAAUGCAUGAUUAAGCAUCCAGGAACUGCUUCUACUACACACACACACACACAAACACACACACACACAGUAUCCCGCAUUGAUCCAACACAUUAACGUUAGGUCAGUUAACUAGUAAUAGAUGCAACUUCUGUUAAUGAUAACGUUAAUGAUAACAUUUGACUCACCAGGUAACGUUACGAUAGUAUCAGCCUCAUCUGGCUCGUUUCCUGUACUUUCAGUAACCUUAACAUUCAUGUUAUCUGCGGCAUGAGAUUCAGUUGCAGGCUUACAAAAACACAGAAAGAGUGUAGUUUGAGUUUGCUCGCGUUUCACAUCUCCUUCAGUGGUUCAAAUUAGUUCAUUUCAAACCUGCGCAGAGUGACCGCCAUGCAGCUGUGUUUUUGUUUGGUGGCAGCCGAAAAUGUCGGUUCAGUGAAUUUAUUCAAUUCAAUUCAAUUCAAUUUUAUUUAUAUAGCGCCAAAUCACAACAACAGUUAUCUCACAGCGCUUCUCAUAAAAGAGCAGGUCUAGACCGUACUCUGUGAUGUUAUUUACAGAAGCCCAACAGUUCCCACCAAGAGCAAGCACUAGGCGACAGAGGCAAGGAAAAACUUCCUUUACUUUCCAAUUUAUGAAAGAACGUGUGAAAGUUCUGCCACAAAACAAUAUUGUUACGUAUCAUCUCGCUAUUUUAAGUGGGUAUACGGAAAUCUUUGACCGUUCCCAGUGGGUAUACGGCAUAUACCUGCGUAUCGCGUAGACUACACCACUGGUCUGCAGAAUAAUGGGGUGUGAAAAAUCCCUUGAAGUCCAACAAAACAGAAGCUGAGCAUUUAAAACAUGAUCUUACACCCGGAUACAGUGAGGAUACAGACGUUUCGUAGAGGAGAUGAGUGUAUACCAGUAUAAUGCAGAUCUGUCCGUCUAUCUGUCUGUUACUGUGUUGGCUUUACAAUAAAAGAAAGUUUUUAUGUCACGUCAACACUUCUGUCAUACUGACCACAUUGCCAUAUGCAUUUCUGGAUACCAUGCAACUGUUAAAACUAUGUCUUUGCUUUCUGGAAAAACUGUAUUUGCUGUAUGUACUUCUGGAUUUGCAAUUUUAAGAUGUCAGAGGGAAUUUUUAUGAACCGUUAUGGUGCAGCGGGAGAAUUACUGUAUGCAGAUUUGUGGUAAAAGCGGAGUUUUGGUGAUGGUAUUGUGUUUUUUUUUUUAAAUACAAGCUUUGUCUUCCAAAUUUAUGGUGGCAUGGAAAGCGGUUAUGCAAAUUUGUGGUGACAAGUACAUAGUUUGGAAAGAAAAAACUGAUUUGGGUUUUAAAUCAGUGAGAAGCAAUGUUGCCAAUCAGGUGCUUCUGCUUGCACAUGCAGGGUAUGAAAAUAAUGAAACUGUCAGAAUACAUAGCAAGAUAAAUUCAUGCUGCCUUUCUUAACUUUGUUAGUCAGUGACAGCUGAAGCCAAAUAUGCAAAUAUUAUACAUUUUAUAGGUUGCUACAGUAUAUGUAGAACUUGAUUAUCUCUUGUCCACCUUUGGCCUUUAGUUAUAUCUAAUACAUUUAAAUUAUCUAAGCAUAUUUCAUGAGAUGUACAGUAUAACAGACUGAUUUAUAUUCCAGCAGUUGCUUUCAACCCGUGGAUAUCCACAGUGUCCUGUUCCUACCUUGUAUUCCCUGAAGUCAAUGUUUGAGGGCCAGAGAAGAAUGUGUUGACUUCACCACUAAUGCAUAUGCAUUUUCUGACAUUUCACAACAAUUCACAACCACUGUGGUGGUUUUGGUUAGUCCCAGGCUCCCGUUUCUAUAGAGACACCCUCACAAAUCAAACAAGUCCCCCCUGCAUACACGCACACUAUUUCAUAACACACAAGUUUACUUAUCUCAUCUUUUCUAUAUUUUUGAUCUAGACUGAUGAUAAGCAUGGACACAUUAUCAUAUUAGAUCAUUUACAUCAUAGAAAAAUAUUCCAUUUGAUAUCUAUUAUAUCCGAUAUAGCUUCAAAAUAUAUGCAUAUGAAGAGGGUCCUCAUAAAAGAUUCUCUCAGAGUCAGAGAGACGUUGCUCUUAAUCUCCUGCUUCGCUUCUUGUCUGUGAAGCUGCAAAUGGGUGGAACAAAACACUCUGUCUUCUCCUCAGGAUAUUGCUGCUUGUAGAGCUAAUCAGGUUGGAAAUGAUGGCUGUGUCUAUGUGUGUGCAGGCAAACCUACACAGGGACAUGCUCGUUAUAAGGGCCCUUAUCUCCUGUCCUCAUUCAACCGCAUCCAUACAAGACAUUAACCCUGCUUGUCUUUCUUUAACUUGUACAUACAUCCCCAUUUAAAAUUGGCUUAGCGUAUAAAAAUGCAUUAUGUGUACGCAUCUUAUCUUAAAGAGGAGCCCGCUUCAUUAUUGUACACUGACAAGUUUAACAUAAUGUAUGUACAUCUCCAUGGGUUAUCCCAGAUGUUUGUUGGGUUCUUUUAGACCAACAGGCAUCAUAAUCUGGUCCUUGUUGACCACAUUGCCUCAGUUUUUUCAGAUUAUAAAGGCAUCGCUGCCCAUCAUGAAGGUCAUGUAAAGCUGUAAACUCAGCAGGAGUCCACAUCAAAAGGCAGAAGGCAUGCAAAAUAUUAGCCUUAUUGCUCAGAAACUCUUGCCCAGAAUAAUACAGCAUGUUCCCAUAUGUUCAGGACCUUGCAUUUUAAUUAACAUGUUUAAUCAUUUAGGCUCCCAUUAGGCAUGCAUUGGUUAACUUUUUCUUUUCUGAUUCCAGCAUCCACACUCAGAUCACUUCUAUUCUAUAAGCAAAGAUGUUCAAACACCAACAUUUAUGUAUGUGUGUAACAUAGCACUUUGUUUGCCCUUGCUUUAUUCUGAGCCCAAAUGCAUUCCAUCCUUUCUGAGAUGCUUAACCUCAACCCAACCUUCAUUGUCCUAACCCCAACCAUGGAGGGCAACGGUAGGUGAAACAGUAUUUGAAGAGGAAGGAAUAAAAACUUUGAGGGAAACUUGUAUCUGUGCCGCACUCACUGUCUGUUGGUGUCCACAUGGAAAAGGCUUCCUACACGCUUCUACCGACUGAAACUGACUUGCUAAACAACGUAGCCUCCUACGUAGGGUGAAGUAGCUAAAAGUUAAUUGAUAACAUCUAACUCCAGUCUAUGUGUCAUGUACAUAUACAUCAAAGAUGAAAUAAAACAUAUUCCAUAUCUGAAAAUGUUUCUAAAUCUACUGUAAAAAACUAUAUGGAGUAAAAAUUUGGUAAUGUUAGCUAACUUUAAAAGUCAACACUGGCUUUACAGAAAAGGCCUGCCAUUGCCUUCAUUGAAGUACAUGCAGAAGGUGGCAAGUAUCACUGUGAAAAAAAUUGCUUCAAGUGAUGAAACUUGAGUCAGGUUGGGGCUGAGGCCUACAAUUUAGAACAUAAAAACGCUGGCUGAGUUACAAAAGUGGGUUUACCAGACCUAGUUCUGUCGUUAUCUCCUCAUCCCCUGCAUUAGCCACUACUAGCAUAACACACCUGAAACUCCUAAUGGCCUGUUGCAGUUGAGUUGCAUUGUGGGUAAUCUAGGCACCAGGUUUUGACAAGUAAGAAGAAUGCGUGGGACCACUUUAAAGAAAUGUCCAUUGUGAGUUUGACAAUGUUACAGAAGUGCAAUGCUAAAUCACUGGAGUGCUGAUUUGAGUCGUUUCAGAAGUUUUGGAGGAUGUCAACACGAGCCCCAAAGCGCCAAAAAGGCUGCAGCUUAACACCAUCUCACCCAUUUCUUGGUGGUCUCACUGGUGGUCUUUUUUCAUCACUAUCACUUACAGCCACCAGUCACUCUUCAAAAGAAUGUUAAAACAGCCUCUGUCUGUGGUGAUACUAUUUUAAAGCUCACGUUGUGACUGGGGAACGGACAUCUCUUACAAGCUGAUGCACAUUUAUAGACUGCUCCUCUGGGUGCCUGUGAGAAUGAGACUGACCGGAGACAUUUGCCAGAGCGCCAUUCGAUGUCAGAUGCAUGUAUGCUAAGUGAGAACAACUUGACUAGCUGUCGUGGGUCAUUUCCCAGUCUCUGAGUCAGCGAUAUGUUCUCUCCCACGUUCUCUCUCCUUCUCACAGCCCCCUUACUUUCACAGUUGGCCAUAAGGAAACAGCAGGACAGAUCUGUGAUCAGAGCUUCAUGACAUGGUGGCCAGGAAGUAUUUAGUACGCAUUAUUCACAAAAGAUGGUGAGCACUUUCUUUGUAAGUAGUAAAAAUAUAAAUUGAGAUUUAUAGAGAAGAUGAUAGAUCAGGCACACAAGAGGCUCAUCCAGACUACUUUGUUCUAGCUGUUUUGUGAUUCUUACAUUUAUAAUGAAACAUAGUCCUGGCAGUAUUUUAAUUUGAUACAUUUCCCAAGAUCAUGGUAAAAUGGAUUGAGAUAUGAAAUCAUGUAAGAAGGAAAGCAAUUGGAUAUUUAGAUGUUACCAAUGGGAGGUAGCCAUUAAAAAAAGAAAGUAAAAGCCUAAUAUAAAAAAAGUUAAAAGCAUUUUGACAUAUAU